UCAUCAUCGUCAUCCUUCAUCAUCAUCCGGCAUCCGUCCCCGGGGAAAAGCCCGGCCCGCGCCCCGAAACCGCGGCUGCGCCCCAAAGCAUCCCCGGGCACGGGGAGCAAAGGAGAGCCUGGAAAAUCGAGGGCGAUUCGUGGUUUUAUUGGAGAAUUAUCAGGGUUUGAGCAAUUUUUGGCCCAGGUCUCCACCUUGUUUAUUCACCUGAGGACUGAGCGAGUUUUUCCUGCCCUGCCCUGGUUUCUCAAGGAGGAUGAGAUGAUUAAACCCAGCGUCAAUCCUCUUAUGGUGAGGAAAUUUCCCAGCACCUGAAAGGCCCUUUAUGAAAUUUGUCUUCAUUAAGACACCACGGAAGUUUUACACACCAAAUAUUAAUUACUAAUAUAGAAUAGCAUAGAAUAAAUAGAAUAUUUUGAUGAUAUUAAUCCA
rnacentral:lncRNA from 1 species